rnacentral:rRNA from 1 species
UACAGAGGUGGCAAGCGUUGUUCGGAAUUACUGGGCGUAAAGGGCGCGUAGGCGGCCUUCUAAGUCGGACGUGAAAUCCCCAGGCUUAACUUGGGAACUGCGUCCGAUACUGGAGGGCUCGAGUGCGGGAGAGGGAUGUGGAAUUCCAGGUGUAGCGGUGAAAUGCGUAGAUAUCUGGAGGAACACCGGUGGCGAAGGCGGCAUCCUGGACCGACACUGACGCUGAUGCGCGAAAGCCAGGGGAGCAAACGGG